rnacentral:rRNA from 1 species
AUGUCAAGCGACUCCAGUCGGAUAAGCUCACACCCAAAUCGCACAAGUGCAUAUUCGUGGGAUAUCCAAGGGAAACCUUGGGAUAUUACUUCUACAACCGUGAAGAGGGCAAAGUGUUUGUCGCUCGACAUGGAGUUUUUCUUGAGAAAGAGUUUCUCAAUCGGAAGGCUAGUGGGAGGACGGUCCGACUAG